ACAUCCAGCGAAUUCGGUAGAGAUACCUUAGUGCCUUCGGGAACGCUGAGACAGGUGCUGCAUGGCUGUCGUCAGCUCGUGUUGUGAAAUGUUGGGUUAAGUCCCGCAACGAGCGCAACCCUUUAUCCUUUGUUGCCAGCGGUCCGGCCGGGAACUCAAAGGAGACUGCCAGUGAUAAACUGGAGGAAGGUGGGGAUGACGUCAAGUCAUCAUGGCCCUUACGAGUAGGGCUACACACGUGCUACAAUGGCGCAUACAAAGAGAAGCGACCUCGCGAGAGCAAGCGGACCUCAUAAAGUGCGUCGUAGUCCGGAUUGGAGUCUGCAACUCGACUCCAUGAAGUCGGAAUCGCUAGUAAUCGUAGAUCAGAAUGCUACGGUGAAUACGUUCCCGGGCCUUGUACACACCGCCCGUCACACCAUGGGAGUGGGUUGCAAAAGAAGUAGGUAGCUUAACCUUCGGGAGGGCGCUUACCACUUUGUGAUUCAUGACUGGGGUGAAGUCGUAACAAGGUAAGCGUAGCGAG
rnacentral:rRNA from 1 species